AUCCCAUGCAUCCUAUCUGAC
rnacentral:misc_RNA from 1 species